GAAAAGAAGAAAAGAAAAGAGGAUCUGCACAAAACGAUCCUUUCAGAAAUGCCAGAAGCGAUUGAAUUACGCAUGCCAGAACUCAAAUCGGAGUCUAGCGAAUUUGAAUUGGACUCUAUCGAAGAUGAAUUGGACUAUUUCGAAGAUGAUUUUGAGACGCUUUUUGCAAAAGGUAAGAAAUUAACUGUAUCCUUGUAGUAGCAUCAAGUUGUUUUAGCAAUUAUCCUGAUUUUGUCAUAGAUGAUAAUUAUUGUUCUCAUAUGAAUGUUUUACCUGUUGAUUAUGAUAUUGACCCAGUUAUGAAUCGUUAUUCACAAGACAAAUGCCGUGUAAAUAGCUAUGGCUUAACAUUGUUAGAUAUUUGUAAACAUACUGGCCUAAGAAUUCUGAAUUCGAGGUUUGGCAAAGAUAAAUACAUAGGUCGCAACACAUUUGUUGGAAGUAGAGGUAGUAGUUUAGUUGAUUACGUAAUAAGUACACAAAAUUUGUUUCAAUAUAUUGA